GAUGAACGCUGGCGGCGUGCCUAAUACAUGCAAGUCGGGCGAACGGACGAGAAGCUUGCUUUUCUGAUGUUAGCGGCGGACGGGUGAGUAACACGUGGAUAACCUACCUAUAAGACUGGGAUAACUUCGGGAAACCGGAGCUAAUACCGGAUAAUAUUUUGAACCGCAUGGUUCAAAAGUGAAAGACGGUCUUGCUGUCACUUAUAGAUGGAUCCGCGCUGCAUUAGCUAGUUGGUAAGGCAACGGCUUACCAAGGCAACGAUGCAUAGCCGACCUGAGAGGGUGAUCGGCCACACUGGAACUGAGACACGGUCCAGACUCCUACGGGAGGCAGCAGUAGGGAAUCUUCCGCAAUGGGCGAAAGCCUGACGGAGCAACGCCGCGUGAGUGAUGAAGGUCUUCGGAUCGUAAAACUCUGUUAUUAGGGAAGAACAUAUGUGUAAGUAACUGUGCACAUCUUGACGGUACCUAAUCAGAAAGCCACGGCUAACUACGUG
rnacentral:rRNA from 1 species